GACGAACGCUGGCGGCGUGCUUAACACAUGCAAGUCGAACGGAAAGGCCCUGCUUUUGUGGGGUGCUCGAGUGGCGAACGGGUGAGUAACACGUGAGUAACCUGCCCUUGACUUUGGGAUAACUUCAGGAAACUGGGGCUAAUACCGGAUAGGAGCUCCUGCUGCAUGGUGGGGGUUGGAAAGUUUCGGCGGUUGGGGAUGGACGCGCGGCUUAUCAGCUUGUUGGUGGGGUAGUGGCUUACCAAGGCUUUGACGGGUAGCCGGCCUGAGAGGGUGACCGGCCACAUUGGGACUGAGAGACGGCCCAGACUCCUACGGGAGGCAGCAGUGGGGAAUAUUGCACAAUGGGCGGAAGCGUGAUGAAGCAACGCCGCGUGCGGGAUGACGGCCUUCGGGUUGUAAACCGCUUUCGCCUGUGACGAAGCGGGAGUGACGGUAAUGGGUAAAGAAGCACCGGCUAACUACGUG
rnacentral:rRNA from 1 species